rnacentral:rRNA from 1 species
UACGUAGGUGGCAAGCGUUGUCCGGAUUUACUGGGCGUAAAGAGCACGCAGGCGGUCGGCCAAGUCGAGUGUGAAAGCCCCCGGCUCAACUGGGGAGGGUCACUUGAUACUGGUCGACUUGAAGGCGGGAGAGGGUAGUGGAAUUCCCGGUGUAGUGGUGAAAUGCGUAGAUAUCGGGAGGAACACCAGUGGCGAAGGCGACUACCUGGCCUGUUCUUGACGCUGAGGUGCGAGAGCGUGGGGGAGCGAACCGG